GCCCGGUUAGCUCAAUCGGUAGAGCGUGAGACUCUUAAUCUCAAGGUUGCGGGUGAGUACAAUGUCUAAGAUAUGAGUGACAAAAAUUCUGACAACGUUGCCUAGGUUCGACCCCCGCAUCGGGCU